rnacentral:rRNA from 1 species
AGAGUUUGAUCAUGGCUCAGAAUCAACGCUGGCGGCGUGCCUAACACAUGCAAGUCGAGCGAGAAAAGGGGGGCAACUCCCUGAGUACAGCGGCGCACGGGUGAGUAACACGUGGGUAAUCUGCCCUGGAGUGGGGAAUAACACCGGGAAACCGGUGCUAAUACCGCAUACGAUCACGAUGUCUGCGGGCGUUGUGAUGAAAGGAGCAAUUCGCUCCAGGAGGAGCCCGCGGCUGAUUAGCUAGUUGGUGAGGUAAUGGCUCACCAAGGCAACGAUCAGUAUCCGGUCUGAGAGGACGGUCGGACACACUGGAACUGAGACACGGUCCAGACUCCUACGGGAGGCAGCAGUGGGGAAUUUUUGGCAAUGGGGGAAACCCUGACCAAGCAACGCCGCGUGGGUGAUGAAGUCUCUUGGGACGUAAAACCCUUUCGACGGGGAAGAAAACCGCAAGGUUUGACGGUACCCGUAGAAGAAGCCCCGGCUAACUCCGUGCCAGCAGCCGCGGUAAUACGGGGGGGGCAAGCGUUGUUCGGAAUUACUGGGCGUAAAGAGUGCGUAGGCGGUGCUCUAAGUCGGAUGUGAAAACUCUGGGCUCAACCCAGAGCCUGCAUCCGAAACUGGAGUGCUAGAGUUCUGGAGGGGGUAGCGGAAUUCCUGGUGUAGCGGUGAAAUGCGUAGAUAUCAGGAGGAACACCGGUGGCGAAGGCGGCUACCUGGACAGAGUCUGACGCUGAGGCACGAAAGCUAGGGGAGCAAACAGGAUUAGAUACCCUAGUAGUCC